CUUUAAAUUGAUUGAUUAAAAUAUACCAUGCAAGCCGUCAGAAGCCUUUUAAGGACGACUCAAGUCGUCAAGAAUGCUCCGCAGGUCAGGAAUAUGAGUGUGGUCUCCAUCCCAACCAGAAACAAGGUUUCCAAGGGGGAAAUGAUCACACUUUCCGUUGGUAUGGUGUUUGGUUGGUUGUUUAUUCCUGGGUGGGUUCUUGUCAACAUGAAGAACUACCGUAGCAAAGAAUAAAUGCUAAUAUUAAUGUAUUAUUGUAGUGUAUUAAGUAAAAUUAAAUUAUAAAAGUA